rnacentral:lncRNA from 1 species
UCUAUAUGUGCGCAAAAAAAAAUCCAUGACUAAUUUAGCGUAACCAAUAACCUAUCAAACCAACCAAUUAAUUACAAUAAAAAUAUCACAUUCAUUAUUCUUAAUAUUGCUUGUUGGGUUAUGAGAGUCAGAGUGACUGAUGGUAUCAAAAUAAGCUCUAAAGUUUGAAUUGGAGCUCUCCUCCAAUUGUAUAGAUCCGGUCUAUCCGCUCAAUUAUGUAGGUUAGGUCAAUAGUAUCGUGCCAUGUCAGUGCAAAUUAUUAUCUAGUGAAAUUAUAAAAAAUAAAAAAUAAAAGCAAAAGAUUCCUUCGAAUGUCAAAUGUAGUUGCUGCAUUGCCCCC